rnacentral:rRNA from 1 species
ACGCUCGACACCUACGGGAGGUAGCAGUGGGGAAUAUUGGGCAAUGGGCGCAAGCCUGACCCAGCAACGCCGCGUGAAGGAAGAAGGCCCUCGGGUUGUAAACUUCUUUUGUCAGGGACGAAGCAAGUGACGGUACCUGACGAAUAAGCCACGGCUAACUACGUGCCAACAGCCGCGGUAAUCUGAGCGGGCUGGCAAGGC